CCAACAAGAAAUGAUACUAAGCAUUCAUUCAUCCAAAGAGACAUAAUAAUAAACAUUCAUACAACCAAAGGGAUAUGAUAAUAAACAUUCAUCCAAAGAGACAUGAGUAGAAAGGAAACAACCUCAUUCAUAUACACCAAAAUAGAGGUUAUAAGAGCCAUAAAGAGCAUAAAGCUCUCAUACAUCCAAUCUAUAAAAUAUAACUAAGUAAUCCAAUACAAAAUAAAGUCAGGAAGAUAGGGCAUUGAGUACAAGAUCCAGAUAGGUGAAGACAUGAUCAGCCCCAUCCUCGAUGGAAAGAUCUGGUCCGAGAAGAAGAAGCUGGAGGACGGAAGGCAAUAGGCUGAAUAAAGGCUGGCUCACUAGAUGCAGAAGGUCUAGACUGAAUCUGGAUCCUAAUGGCAUCAAGCUGAGACAGGAUAUCCCUCACAGUCAAUCGGAGACCAUCCAGAUCAGAUGUCAGAAAAUCCCUGGAGUCUGGGAUAUCUAUCCUGAGCACCUCGAGAGAAGAGCGAAGCUGUGACUGAAGUCUGUCUAUCUCUCGAGCCAGGUCAUCCAUCUAUGGUGCAGAAGAAGUCGAUGUGCCCACUCCAGCAGAAAGAGAGUCUACAAUCCGUCUGAUCUCUCUUUCCAGGUCAAAAAUCCUGCCACUGAAUCUCCAAAGUGAGCUCUCCACACCCUGCAAUCUGACACUCAAAUCCGAUAACAGCUCCAUCAAUGAAGAAAUGUGUGGAACAAUAGAUGAAUCCAAUGAUGAAGCAGGGAAGGCAGUGGAAGAAGCUGGCUGAUACUGCUGUGGCUGCUGUGUCUGCUGCUGCUGUAGCUGCUGAAGGAUCCGCUCCUGGUACAGCUGAAACUGGUGGAACUGCUGUAUAACCUGAUCCUUGAGCUGCUCCUGGAAUUGCUACUGCUGGAUUGAUAAUAUGUCUGCUACCCUCUCAGC
rnacentral:lncRNA from 1 species